rnacentral:rRNA from 1 species
UACCAGCACCCCGAGUGGUCGGGACGUUUAUUGGGCCUAAAGCAUCCGUAGCCGGUUCUACAAGUCUUCCGUUAAAUCCACCUGCUUAACAGAUGGGCUGCGGAAGAUACCGCAGAGCUAGGAGGCGGGAGAGGCAAACGGUACUCAGUGGGUAGGGGUAAAAUCCAUUGAUCUACUGAAGACCACCAGUGGCGAAGGCGGUUUGCCAGAACGCGCUCGACGGUGAGGGAUGAAAGCUGGGGGAGCAAACCGG